rnacentral:tRNA from 1 species
GGUUAUGGCUCAGUGGUAGGGUGCUUGCCUAACAUGUAUGAGGCCCUGAGUUUGAUCCUCAGCACCA